UUACGACCAUAUCAGGUUUAAACACCGGUUCUUAUACGAUCACCGAAGUUAAACAACGUCGAGAAAGUUCAGUAUCUAGAUUGGUGGCCGCUUGGGAAUCCCAG